rnacentral:pre_miRNA from 1 species
AAUAAACCAAUUUUUCACUUUUUACCUACAAUUUUAACUCUUCUUUUUAUUUAAAAUUUUUUUGUGAUUGAUAUUUUUGUUUUUGUUAGAUGAUAAAUUAUAAAUAGUACUUUACGUAUGACUAAUUUUUUUUCUAGUUUUCUGAAAUUUUUUUAAAUAAGACGGAUAGUCAAAUGUUGGAUACGAAAACCGAAG